rnacentral:tRNA from 1 species
AGUCUUGGAGUAUUAUCACGUUAGAUUGCAAAUCUAGAAACACAGAUUAAAGCUCUGUCAAGGCUU